rnacentral:rRNA from 1 species
AUGGACGACGGGAACCUCGACUGCUCCUCCAUGGGCAGCUACUUCGACGGCAUCCUCAUGGACACGGAGCAGGUUGCGUGCUGCACCCACACCCACACCUGCCUCCACGUCCACUCCAAGAUCGCCGCCUCCGCCUCCUCCGAUGCCGGCGCGGAGACCCCGGCCGAGUUCGAGGACGCCCACGUCACCUCCAGGAGCAAGAGGCGCCGCCCGUCGGGCAACCAGGCGGCCGUGCGCAAGUACCGGGAGAAGAAGAAGGCGCACACGGCGCUGCUGGAGGAGGAGGCGGCCCGUCUCAGGGCUAUGAACAAGGAGCUCGCCAAGAAGGUCCAGGACCACGCCGCGCUCGAGGCCGAGGCGGCCAGGCUCCACUGCCUGCUCGUCGACGUCAGGGGGAGGAUCGAAGGGGAGAUCGGCGCCUUCCCUUACCAGCGGCGGCCGGCCAAGGGCGCCGGUCAGGGCGGUGCCCAGGUUAUGAGCUCGUGUGAUUUCAUAGCAACCUGUGAACAACCUCAUACGUGUUUUCUCUAA